rnacentral:rRNA from 1 species
UACGUAGGGUGCAAGCGUUGUCCGGAAUUAUUGGGCGUAAAGAGCUCGUAGGUGGCCUGUCACGUCGACUGUGAAAACCCAGGGCUCAACCCUGGGACUGCAGUCGAUACGGGCAGGCUAGAGUGCGGUAGGGGAGACUGGAAUUCCUGGUGUAGCGGUGAAAUGCGCAGAUAUCAGGAGGAACACCGGUGGCGAAGGCGGGUCUCUGGGCCGUAACUGACGCUGAGGAGCGAAAGCGUGGGGAGCAAACAGG